UGGGGAAUUGUUCACAAUGGGCGCAAGCCUGAUGACGCAACGCCGCGUGGAGGAUGAAGGUCUUCGGAUUGUAAACUCCUGUUGCUCGGGACGAAAAGCUCCGACCUAACACGUCGGAGUCUGACGGUACCGGGUGAGGAAGCCCCGGCUAACUCCGUGCCAGCAGCCGCGGUAAUACGGAGGGGGCUAGCGUUGUUCGGAAUUACUGGGCGUAAAGGGCGCGUAGGCGGCGCGGUAAGUCACUUGUGAAAUCUCUGAGCUUAACUCAGAACGGCCAAGUGAUACUGCAGUGCUAGAGUGUAGAAGGGGCAAUCGGAAUUCUUGGUGUAGCGGUGAAAUGCGUAGAUAUCAAGAGGAACACCUGAGGUGAAGACGGGUUGCUGGUCUAACACUGACGCUGAGGCGCGAAAGCCAGGGGAGCAAA
rnacentral:rRNA from 1 species